AUACGGAGGGUGCAAGCGUUAUUCGGAAUCACUGGGCGUAAAGGGCGCGUAGGCGGGUUGGCAAGUCAGAUGUGAAAUCCUACAGCUUAACUGUAGAACUGCAUUUGAAACUGCUAACCUAGAGUAUGGGAGGGGGAGAUGGAAUUAGUGGUGUAGGGGUAAAAUCCGUAGAUAUCACUAGGAAUACCGAAAGCGAAGGCGAUCUCCUGGAACAUAACUGACGCUAAGGCGUGAAAGCGUGGGGAGCAAACAGGAUUAGAUACCCGAGUAGUCC
rnacentral:rRNA from 1 species